rnacentral:rRNA from 1 species
UACGGGGGGGACAAGCGCUGGUAGGACUUACUGGGCGUAAAGGGCGCGUAGGCGGGUGGACAAGUCUCUCGUGAAAGCCCACGGCUCAACCGUGGAAAUGCGGGAGAUACUGUCUGUCUUGAGUCCGGGAGAGGAGGGUGGAAUUCCCAGUGUAGCGGUGAAAUGCGUAGAUAUUGGGAGGAACACCGGUGGCGAAGGCGGCUCUCUGGACCGGUACUGACGCUGAGGCGCGAAAGCUAGGGGAGCAAACGGG